AGGUUCAAUGAUCUAAACAAAGAAAUCAUGGCGGAGUGUUUACAUUUGGCAGCCCCAAAGACUCUGGAUUACGGGAUAAAAUAAGUAAUAAUAAUAAUGAUAAAAAAAGCCGCGGCGCAAAGGAGUUUGCAGGCACCUCGCCGUUUCCGGGGAAGACACUAUACACAAGCAUUUGGAGUAGAAUAGAAGAAACUUGACAGAUCUAUCACUGUGAAGGGCUACUGAAUAGCUCCCUGACUGGACUGUAUCUCCUCAAAUGAACUUGCAGCCAUGUGACUCCCAGGGUUCACCAUGCUGCUCUGUGUUGCAUAGUGGAAGAUGUUGUGUGGCCUGAAAACAUUACAGGCUAGACUACUCUAGAGCUAUACAUCUGGAGCAGCCCUUGAAGGACACCCAGAAGCUACGGCCUUUACAGGAACAUUUUCUUAGGGCUUGUCUUCACUACCGGGAGAGCGACACUGCUGCAAUCGAUGCAGCGGUUGUCGAUUUAGCGGGUCUAGUGAAAACCCGCUAAAUCGAUGGUAGAGCGCUCUCUGGUUGACUCUGGUACUCCAGCUCCUCGGGAACAGUAAGGUAGUGGUGGAGGCCCGACUGCAAGGCAGAGAGGGGUGCUUCUCUCAUGUUCCUAGUCUGCUGUUUUUGAAGGAGGAGGGAGAACUGGAGGAAGCCGCCACGUGAGUUCCCAACCUGAAAUGUCAGGUCCGUCAGCCUGUCAGAAAAUAGCCAAUCAAAAACAGAUUUUAAUGCCAGUUACAAAAUAUAAGCAACUUUUUCAUGGCAUUUUUGUCUUCUGUGUGAUUUUGUAUAUCAGAAGUGAUGUGUCCAA